rnacentral:tRNA from 1 species
GGGUAUAGCUCAGUGGUAGAUAGGAGCACAUGCUUAGCACGCACGAGGUCCUGGGUUCAAUCCUCAGUACCUCCA